GAUGAACGCUGGCGGCGUGCCUAAUACAUGCAAGUCGAGCGAACAGACGAGGAGCUUGCUCCUCUGACGUUAGCGGCGGACGGGUGAGUAACACGUGGAUAACCUACCUAUAAGACUGGGAUAACUUCGGGAAACCGGAGCUAAUACCGGAUAAUAUGUUGAACCGCAUGGUUCAACAGUGAAAGACGGUCUUGCUGUCACUUAUAGAUGGAUCCGCGCUGCAUUAGCUAGUUGGUAAGGUAACGGCUUACCAAGGCAACGAUGCGUAGCCGACCUGAGAGGGUAAUCGGCCACACUGGAACUGAGACACGGUCCAGACUCCAACGGAAGGCAGCAGUAGGGAUUCUUCCGCAAGGGGCGAAAGCCUGACGGGGCAACGCCGCGUGAGUGAAGAAGGUCUUCGGAUCGUAAAACUCUGUUAUUAGGAAAGAACAAAUGUGUAAGUAACUAUGCACGUCUUGACGGUACCUAAGCAGAAGGCCACGGCUAACUACGU
rnacentral:rRNA from 1 species